ACACUCCUACGGGAGGCAGCAGUGGGGAAUAUUGCACAAUGGGCGCAAGCCUGAUGCAGCCAUGCCGCGUGUGUGAAGAAGGCCUUCGGGUUGUAAAGCACUUUCAGCGGGGAGGAAGGCGUUAAGGUUAAUAACCUUGGCGAUUGACGUUACCCGCAGAAGAAGCACCGGCUAACUCCGUGCCAGCAGCCGCGGUAAUACGGAGGGUGCAAGCGUUAAUCGGAAUUACUGGGCGUAAAGCGCACGCAGGCGGUCUGUCAAGUCGGAUGUGAAAUCCCCGGGCUCAACCUGGGAACUGCAUUCGAAACUGGCAGGCUAGAGUCUUGUAGAGGGGGGUAGAAUUCCAGGUGUAGCGGUGAAAUGCGUAGAGAUCUGGAGGAAUACCGGUGGCGAAGGCGGCCCCCUGGACAAAGACUGACGCUCAGGUGCGAAAGCGUGGGGAGCAAACAGGAUUAGAUACCCGGGUAGUCCCA
rnacentral:rRNA from 1 species